rnacentral:rRNA from 1 species
GGUCGGACAUCAGGAGGUUAGUGCAAUGGCAUAAGCCAGCUUGACUGCGAGCGUGACGGCGCGAGCAGGUGCGAAAGCAGGUCAUAGUGAUCCGGUGGUUCUGAAUGGAAGGGCCAUCGCUCAACGGAUAAAAGGUACUCCGGGGAUAACAGGCUGAUACCGCCCAAGAGUUCAUAUCGACGGCGGUGUUUGGCACCUCGAUGUCGGCUCAUCACAUCCUGGGGCUGAAGUAGGUCCCAAGGGUAUGGCUGUUCGCCAUUUAAAGUGGUACGCGAGCUGGGUUUAGAACGUCGUGAGACAGUUCGGUCCCUAUCUGCCGUGGGCGCUGGAGAACUGAGGGGGGCUGCUCCUAGUACGAGAGGACCGGAGUGGACGCAUCACUGGUGUUCGGGUUGUCAUGCCAAUGGCACUGCCCGGUAGCUAAAUGCGGAAGAGAUAAGUGCUGAAAGCAUCUAAGCACGAAACUUGCCCCGAGA